rnacentral:rRNA from 1 species
AUUGAACGCUGGCGGAAUGCUUUACACAUGCAAGUCGAACGGCAGCAUAGGUGCUUGCACCUGAUGGCGAGUGGCGAACGGGUGAGUAAUACAUCGGAACGUGCCCAGUCGUGGGGGAUAACGUAGCGAAAGUUACGCUAAUACCGCAUACGAUCUGCGGAUGAAAGCGGGGGACCGUAAGGCCUCGCGCGAUUGGAGCGGCCGAUGUUAGAUUAGGUAGUUGGUGGGGUAAAGGCUCACCAAGCCGACGAUCUAUAGCUGGUCUGAGAGGAUGAUCAGCCACACUGGGACUGAGACACGGCCCAGACUCCUACGGGAGGCAGCAGUGGGGAAUUUUGGACAAUGGGCGCAAGCCUGAUCCAGCCAUUCCGCGUGCAGGACGAAGGCCUUCGGGUUGUAAACUGCUUUUGUACAGAACGAAAAGCCUUGGGUUAAUACCCUGAGGUCAUGACGGUACUGUAAGAAUAAGCACCGGCUAACUACGUG